GCAGAGGCCCUGGCCGGCUCCAGGAAAUGUUUGUACUUCUCCACCGGGAGGGAGGACAAACACGCGUCCCCCCGCUCUGGGCAGCGCCGCGCUCGCGCACAGCCAGGCUGAAAGCAAAACCCACUCGGGGCGGCCCCCAACACCGCCUCUGCAGCAUGAAGCUCACGGAGCCGCCAGCCUCCUGCCCCGAGUGACCGCGGCCGGGGGCACACGCUCCCCCUCUCGGCGUGACCCUUCUCCGGAGAACAGGCCACCCGGGGCCUCUCGCCAUCCGCGCCCACCUCUCCCGUGUGCCGGCCGGUUCCUGUGCCCAAUGAGCGCGUCAGAGAAGCAGCAGCUGCCUGCGUGGUAGGGGACCCCUGUCUCUCAGGACACGUGUCCCCCGGCCAGCAUGGACAACGGCUCCUGCUGCCUCAUUGAGGGCGACCCCAUCGCCCAGGUGAUGCCCCCGCUGCUGAUCCUGGCCUUUGUGCUGGGGGCCCUGGGCAACGGGCUGGCGCUGUGCGGGUUCUGCUUCCACACGAAGACCUGGAAGCCCAGUACCGUUUACCUGUUCAACCUGGCCGUGGCCGACUUCCUGCUCAUGGUCAGCCUGCCCUUCCGGACGGACUACUACCGCCGGCGCCGCCAGUGGGCCUUCGAGGACAUCCCGUGCCGGCUCGUGCUCUUCCUGCUGGCCAUGAGCCGGGCCGGGAGCAUCGUGUUCCUCACCGUGGUGGCCGUGGACCGGUACUUCAGGGUGGUGCACCCGCACCACGUGGUGAACGCCAUGUCCAACCGCACGGCGGUUGCCGUGGUCUGUGCCCUGUGGGCGCUGGUCGUCCUGGGGACGCUGUACCUGCUGAUGGAGAACCACCUGUGUGUGCAGGACAAGACCGUGGCCUGCGAGAGCUUCAUCAUGGAGUCGGCCAACGGCUGGCACGACGUCAUGUUCCAGCUGGAGUUCUUCCUGCCCCUCGCCAUCAUCUCCUUCUGCACCUUCCGGAUCAUCUGCAGCCUGCGGCAGCGGCGGCAGCUGGCCCGCCAGGCCCGGAUGCAGAGGGCCACCCGCUUCAUCAUCGUGGUGGCCGUGGUGUUCGUCACCUGCUACCUGCCCAGUGCGUCGGCCAGGCUGUACUUCCUGUGGACGGUGCCGUCCAGCGCCUGCGACCCCUCGGUGCACGUGGCCCUGCACGUCACACUCAGCUUCACCUACAUGAACAGCAUGCUGGACCCCCUGGUGUACUACUUCUCAAGCCCCUCGUUCCCGAAGUUCUACACCAAGCUCACCAUCCGACGUUUGAGACCCCAGCGCUCUGGACGACGUGCCCCGACGCGGCCGGAGGAGAUGCCCGUUUCCAACCUGUGCCUCGAGGGGCGUGGCAAAGGCCUUCCGGAGACCAGCAGGUGUGCGGUGGGGUCUGGAGACGGGCUGAAUGGCACCGAGGUAAACAGACACGCGGACCCAAGGAGGCAGCUUAGAAAUGAGUCAUUCUAGGGGGGCGCUGGGGGAGGAUGGAGUCUGACAUGCCAGCCCGGCUUAGCGACAGCCUCCUCUCUCUUACUGGAAACUGGGAAACGAAAAGCAGGUCACGGUACCUUUGGGGAAGUUUCCGGCUCAGAAGCAAGUUGGACGCAGGCACCAAGCCCUCCUCUGUGGCACCCUGGAUACUUCAAUGUUUCAGUAAAUUCACCGAUGACAGCUAGCUUGCCAAAACAAAUCCUUUCUAAUUACAAACAUUUC